rnacentral:rRNA from 1 species
CUGGGCGUAAAGCGAGCGCAGACGGUUACUUAAGCAGGAUGUGAAAUCCCCGGGCUCAACCUGGGAACUGCGUUCUGAACCGGGUGACUAGAGUGUGUCAGAGGGAGGUAGAAUUCCACGUGUAGCAGUGAAAUGCGUAGAGAUGUGGAGGAAUACCGAUGGCGAAGGCAGCCUCCUGGGAUAACACUGACGUUCAUGCUCGAAAGCGUGGGUAGCAAACAGGAUUAGAUACCCUGGUAGUCCACGCCCUAAACGAUGUCAAUUAGCUGUUGGGCAACUUGAUUGCUUAGUAGCGUAGCUAACGCGUGAAAUUGACCGCCUGGGGAGUACGGUCGCAAGAUUAAAACUCAAAGGAAUUGACGGGGACCCGCACAAGCGGUGGAUGAUGUGGAUUAAUUCGAUGCAACGCGAAGAACCUUACCUGGUCUUGACAUGUACGGAAUCCUCCAGAGACGGAGGAGUGCCUUCGGGAACCGUAACACAGGUGCUGCAUGGCUGUCGUCAGCUCGUGUCGUGAG